rnacentral:rRNA from 1 species
UACGGAGGGGGCUAGCGUUGUUCGGAGUUACUGGGCGUAAAGCGGGUGUAGGCGGAUUGCUAAGUCGGGGGUGAAAGCCCGGGGCUCAACCCUGGAAUUGCCUUCUAUACUGGCAGUCUCGAGUGCAGGAGAGGUGAGCGGAAUUCCGAGUGUAGAGGUGAAAUUCGUAGAUAUUCGGAGGAACACCAGAGGCGAAGGCGGCUCACUGGACUGUUACUGACGCUGCGACCCGACAGCGUGGGGAGCACACAGG